AAAAUUGUGGUCAUACUGCUGACUAUGAACAGCUGUAGCUGUGUUUGUAAAUAAACCGUUUAAAUGCUUUAUGGUUUAUCAAAUAAAGUUAUUUGUAUUAUUUUAUCGAGUGCUUUUAUAGUAGUUUUUUGGUUGAUAAUUACUGUGUAAGAAAAGAGAUUUCACAUAUUUUUAUGUUGAUGUUUUUCUGGUGUUUAAUUACGAAAAAUAAAUGUUUAAUGAAAGUGAGUAAAAUAAUAUUAUAAAUACUCACAAGUAAAACGUCAUUUUAGCACCUUCUGCCUUUUAAUAAAAAAAUGAAAGUUUUAAUUAAAGUGAAACGGAUACUUAGGAAAAAACUUAAAGUUACUUUUUGUAGUACGGUUUUUGUGUGCAUAUUUUUUUUAAUUUAUCAAUAUUUCUACAGCACUGAACUGUUUAGGGUGAACCCUGCUGAUAAAAAAUUUCAGAAACAAAUAUUACCUAAAGAAAUUGUUCCACAAAAAAAUGUAAAAAUUUCGGCCAGCUAUGUGUCAGUAAAAAAACAUUUAUUGUCUGUAAGAGGGGUUCAUCAAAGAGACAGACGAUACAAACCUGAUGCAAAUAACAAAUUUAUAUGUUUCACUAGUGGUGAAAAAAUUUCUUUUGACAAAGUCAACGAUAAUUACUGUGACUGUGAAGAGGAUGGAAGUGAUGAGCCUGGAACUAAUGCUUGUAACAAUGGUGUAUUUUUCUGUUCAACUGAAGGUUCAUACCGAGAUAUUAGGGCAAUACCAACCUACCAGGUGAACGAUGGUAUUUGUGACUGCUGUGAUGGUUCAGAUGAAUGGGAGGAAAAGAAAUGGACCUCAGGCCUUUCAGCAAAGUUGCAGGAGCAUCUUGGUACGUAUCAGUCACCGUGCAAAAAUGUUUGUUUCCAGCACCAACAGCCAGAAUAAAAUUGAAGUUUAGAUGGUUAAAAACAUUUACUAACUUUAUUUAAUAUCCAUUGAUAUAAAAACUAGACCAAUGUGAAACAGUUCGUUAUCCUGUUGUGACAGUUAUCAAAUAAUACUAGAUUACACAUUGCUAUCAAUAUUAUAUUUCAUUAUCCAUACAGCUUUAUACCAAUUACCUAAGAUUUUUUGUUUGUGCAUUCACGCCAUUCACGCUUAUGCUUACGGAAUAUGUGUGUAGCUAUAUGGCACAAUAUUGUGUGGUUUUCCUGAUUACUAAAUAAACUGUUCUAAAAUGACUCUGUUCUUGUAAUUUUUUUAAAUAGACAAUACAAGGGUUUCAUUAGUUCCGAGCCUAAAAUCAAAAGAUUCAGAAUAUGAAUUUUUGUAAAUGAAAUUGAUCAGUUAAUCCACAAGAUUGGAACUUCAAUAUUGCAAUUUAUCAUUAUAACAUUUAAAUUUUAUAGCAUAUUGUACAGAAAUUUGUUAUUCAUACUGACAGUAUUUUUAUUUAUGACAAAACAAUGUUUUGAAUGUCAAUAUAUCAUUUAAACACUGUUACAACAAUUAUUUGUAAUAUGGGUAGCAUAUGUCAUAGUUUUAUAUGAAUUCAUAAGGUUUUUUUUUGUUACAAUAUGAAAAUUUUUUGAAAAUAGCAUUUUGUAACUUUUAUUUUAUGUAGAAAUCUUUAAAUAAAGAAGGAAGGUUUCUGUGGCCUAUGCAGUUUAAUGUAUAACUGGAGUAAUAUAAAUUAUUUAACUUGGCAAUUUUAAUAAAUUAUUUUUACAAUUGGCACACUAUAAUCCUGCAUUGUUUGGUGAGGCAUUGAUCAUGCCAAUCAUUUUUUGAAUUUUUUUUCAGGAUGGCACCAACGUAAUAUCAGAUAUUUUUUGAACAUUAAUGCCCAGUGUAUUUUCCUGGCAAUAGAGUCAAUAAUUUUUAAUGUCAUUAUACUGUAAAUUAAUUUUUAUUUGCUUAUCCCACUAAAAAUUACAUAAGAUAUUCAAUAAUCUGGCAAAAUCUGUAAUCCAUCACUGCCAGGCUCCAAACUUUUCUGUAAUAAAAAAGCCUUUACUGUUGUAAGUAUAGUAUCAUAAUGAAAUAAAUAAUUUUUUAAAUCUUUUAUAAAAUAACAUAUUAAAAAAAAUUAAAAUGUAAAUAUUCAGUUGUACAUAUUUACCCCAUUUGAGGAAUGUAUGAUAGUAAAUUUGAAGAAUUUUAAAAUAGUGCAAAUAAUUGUUUUUUAAAUUGUUUUUUUUUAAGGAUUGUAUGUAUGUAGUAAUUUUUGAACUAAUUGUAAGAUGUCUAUAGACUAGUAUACCAAAUGGCACCUAACUUCCAGCAAGUGGAAAAUCACUUUUCCUGUUUAUUUAAAAAAGACACAGCACUGUGGAUGUCAAAAAACAGCCUCUCCUUAAUUAAGGCAGAAGCACAUAAAAUCAAGGUUGACCAAUACUGUAUGUGCUAAACCUGCAGGGCAGUGCUUUGGAGUUAGUAAACUUAUUAGAACUGAUGCAUCAGUAUUACCAUUCACCUUUAAACAGUUAAUCAUGUUACUUAAAUAGAAGUGUGUUUUAUGCUUGGAUGUAGAUGUUUUCAUUUACAGAAACUUAAGGAUCAAAGAGGGAUAUGUCUUAGAAUUGAUGGUGUUUUAUAUUUGAGUGAAUUUGGUACAUUCAGUUAUGGAAACUGAUAAUCAUGGAGGAGUUCAUAUUCAACUGUCACUUAAAAGACUAGCUCUUAAGGCACUGCAAGGAGCAUUAACUCUAAUGUCUCACUAACAUGUUAACCCACUGAAACUUGAUUUGUCCAAUUUGGCUAUCAUUUGCUUGUGAAUAUAAUAUUUUUUGUCAAUUGUAUUUUUGACGUGACGUCUAAUAAAUUGAUGAAUGCCGGCUGCACGCACAAAAAAGUGUCCCGUUAUGCACAUUGUCCCAUUACACGGUGUCCUGUUGUGCUCAUUUUAUAUUGCUCUUUGCUAACCUGAACCUCCUAGCAUUGCGACCGAGUCCGUGGCGUAAUUCUGUUUUCAUGCAUUUCAAUGUAACAUUUUCAUAGCUCUUUGCUAACCAGUUCCUCCUAGCAUUGCUGCAGAGUCCGUGGCGCAAAUAUCUCUCUUCCACUCGAUUGGAACAACCAUCGAUUUGACUUUUUUGAUGCACAUUAAACUUGAAACACUUCCAUUCGUUUCCUACUUUUCCUAUCAUCGUCCUAUCCUUAACAGAAUAACACAGAUUGAAGAAGUUAAAUAGCAAACAUGUAUAAAAGUUAUAGUUAAAAUAAUCUCUUCGUUAAAGUAAUAAACAUAUUU